GCCUGUUUCGCCAAGGCCAUGGAAAAAUGUGACGACCGCUGCUCUCGUGAAAGUUGAGCUGCAAGUAGUUUGCAGGCAUUCAGCUGGUAAUCCGAGGUCUGGUUUCCACAGCAAGAUAAUGCACAUCAUCAUGUUGGAUGAAAGCUAAAGAAACUCAAUUCAUUGCUAAUCCUUAUACACCAAGCGGAAGGAGUUGGUGAUGACAGAACUGGUGAGCUGGGAGUCUUAGCCUGUUUAACAGAAAGAGAAAACCCUGUUCGCUUACUUGAACUGUCAAAGAAGGGUGGCCAUCUCCAACAGCGACGGCGCCUUCCGGAGAGGCGGGAGCCUCGGCGACGCCUCCUCGGGGCUAGAGGAGGGAGGAAAGAGCAGGCGCGAGGCCUCCUCCUCGCGCAGCAGCGAGGCUCCGCGGUCCGUCUCCUGGACGAAGGCCCUCAGAGCACAAACAGAUGAAGAAACAACCUAUGUGGCGGAUGCAAACGCACGAGGCGCACGUAAACAUACCUGGAACGUAGAGGACACGGAGAGGAAGCGGGCCGCGAUGGUGCCGCCUACGAAGCCUGCGGUGCAGACGCCGGAGAACACCCCGAAGGCCGCCGCUCGCCGCCCCUCGGGCACCUUGUCGGCCUGCACGACACGCGGAGAAAGAGAGAGCAAUCCAUGCAUUGCAUCCAGCUGAGCUCCAGUCAUGUAUGGAAAUAUUGGAAAAAACUUAAAGUUGGCGAGA